ensembl:lncRNA
CUGACUUCUGAUUCGCCUUAAUCAGUCUCCUGAUGUUGAUUAGCCUGGUUAACCUUUGAGCCGUUCUGAGUCCGUAAGGGUUAAUCAGGCCGGGAUCUCAGUGACCCGAGGGUCAGAUUGCCUCUAUCUCUUGCUUGAAGGAUUCGGUGGAGGCAGCGAUAAGAUUAGGGUGAACUUUCCUCUUCCAACCCAUCAAAGCGCAAUAGACACCUGCGCUCGCAAAGCUUUUGAAAACUACUAUAUAAUGUCCGUGGCUUAAUAUGAAUAAAAUAAAGUAGUAGUAGUACUGUGGGUGUACUGUGGGUGUUGAUCCAUUGAGGGGAAAAAGGGAUAUUUUCGAUAUAACAUUUUAUAUGUUAGGCUAGUUAAUCAAGCAGAGUUCAGCUGUGUUUUUAAGGUUCAAAUUCUAGUUUAAUAUGUAGUCGGCUGAUGACUGAGAGAUCUGCUGCGGUUCGGAUAUUUAGCUUUGCUUAUUCAAUGUCUAUCGAUUUAUUCGCUUAUAACUUCUCUUACAUGAGUCCCAUCUUACACACUCGUGUCCCAGAGUGCGUACUUUACUUUACAAACAAUAAUUAAGUGAUUUACCCCUUUCUUCGCGUCCCAGCCAUGGAAAAUCGUUAAAGAUCCUGCUAUUUGUGUGUGAUCAGUAAAUAUUUAGUGUAGUGUCUCGUCCUAAUCGAUGGAGGUCCUGAUGGGGGAGCGCUAUUGUGUGUGUGGACGCAUGCUGAGCCCUGUGUGUGAGGACUCUUUCUCGUGCAGUGCAUUUUACAAUGAUAAAUACCAGGACUAUUUUGCUUGCACAUCUAGUUGCUCGAAAACGGCUUUCAGCGUGGAAGUUCCUUCAGCGCAACCACCGAUUACAGGCUAUUUUUAAGUGCAAAGUGAUUCAUUUCUACUCGAUUGCUAGUGGCGUUUGCUUUUAUUUUGAGAUUUCAGAGGUAGAACAAAUAAUCUAGUGAAUAAAACUUUUUAUUUAUUUAUGUAUUUGUUUAUUUUAAUGAAAUGUGCUUCAUGUAAUUGGCUACUUAUCUAAGUAACUACAUUUGAGGCCUUUGUAUUAAGACUGUAGCCUAUAAUAAUAUAAUUCAAUGUGUCUUCACGGCUUUGCGUUGGAGAUGCUGGAAGGCUUUUAAUAAUGUGAUAUGAAUACAGGCGUUUAUUCAUUGUUUGUUUGUUUAUUUGAGCUUGUAUUUAUUAUUAUAUUUAUUAGUUAGGCUACUAUACUCAGCUAGUUGGCAUAGCAGAAUAGACAAUUAAAGCGCCCUGCGUACACAACUCUUAAAACCUAUCAGGCAUUGACUGUAUUACUAGCAAGCCUACGGCAAUUUGACGUCACUCGUGAAUGCCUGGGCUAUAGAAGUCUUACGACUGCAUACUAGCAGCAGUGCUUUCUGAAGUGCUGUUAGCUUUUUUUAUUCAGACAGUGGUCUAAGCAUAAUAAUCAAAGCCUUAUUGAUGAGAUGUUCUCGCAUUCUUGUAGAUGUAUGAUUGUGUAUCUUCAUGAACUUAAUGGCAUAUUAAAAUAAUAUUUGCAUAACGGUAAAGGUUUAUUGCGUCAGUUAUCUAAAUUCAUUGAUCUAAUAAAGUCCUCACUUUGGACUUAACCACUGAAAAACAACAAAGGCAUAUCACUGUUACUAGUUUGCACAUAAACAGACAGGUGUCUCUCCUGACUUCACCCCCUCCCUUCCCCAAUCACACAGCCCACACAAAGCAGCUGCACUGAGGAGGCUUUUUACCUUAUGUGGAAAAGAAAAAGACGCACAGGAGCAUUUUUUGUCUUUUCUUUUUUUUUUUCUUCUUUUUUUUUUAACAAAAGCAAAAAAUCUCUAUCUUCAAAGUCAUCAACACGACUGUCCUUCUAUUAGGAUAUGUACUACUAAAUAUUAACAUGUUAUUUAAGCGUCGCAGAAAAGUUUGACCGAUUUUGCUUGUCGGUGUGUCUUUUUUUUCCCUCCCUAAAGUUUUAGUAAUCAUUCAAAUAAACAGAGAGCCGCAUUUUUGUGUAUAAAUCCGUCAGUGGAAAAGGAAACGUUGAUUCCACUUCCAAACAGAGGGUUAAAUCGCACAGAAAGAGAAGACUAAGUAUAUUUUUCACAUAGGAGAGGAUGCAUCACGGGGAAGACGAAUCAGCAUCAUACGCAUUUGGUAUGUUCGGGCUUUGUUGAGAAUUAAACCUCACUUAGCAUGUACAUAUUAUUUGGAAUAUGUAUGUUAAAGUGAACCUGAUUGAUUUGUGUGUUGUGAAUUCAUUCAAAACAUUGAUUAAAAUAAUAUAAAUAUGAACAUUGUAUCUACAUCAAACACAUCCUUGUGCGGAACACUUUGUCCAUUCAUUAUACAGCCUAAUCAUUGCAAGUUGGUACGCAUUAUUUUUAUUUUUAUUUUGUUUCUUUCUUUUUGAUCUUUGUCAAUAAUUUUGCUGAGAUUUAAGAAGUGAUGGUGUAUUGCAUGCAUGUCUCUCUAUGCGUCUAUACUAGUCGUAUUUUUGGUUUAACAAAAGAAAAAACAAAUAUGAGGCAUCCUUGUACUUGCAAGUUAAAGUCUGAAAAUAUUAACACUUACCUUGAUCUUGGGAUAAAAUCCACUUUGCAUCGUAGGCUAUGCUAUAAUUUACGUCUGCGGUAUUGCUUUCGGCUGUCUUGUUCACAUACAGGCUUUUGAAUGGUCAGAGAUGAGGUACGGUGCUCACUUUUUACCGUUUCAGUAAACUGCCCAAAAAUAACCGAAACGCUGCAAUACUCCCGUGCGUGAACAACACUGUGGAGAAAAUGUGUGGAAGAGACCUACAAGUGCACCUCUGCAACGUCCAUGUCAAUUAGAAGGAAAUCUCAAAAGCAUUAAUCAGAUUAAAAUAGGCGCGUGUUACUUUGGUGUAUGUGAGAGGCGAGCGACCGAUGUAGUUUCCAUUUAAGAUGGCUCUUCCACCUUAAAGAGCGAGUUUGACCAGAAAUAAUCCUAACGCUAGGGGGCGCCCAUAUACUGUUGUACGUCCAGUCUUCAGCAUUUUUUUCUCCUCUGAGGCAGCAUAUGUUCUGAUUUAGCACUGCAUGGUGAUACAGAAAGUAGACUUCAACAAGCGAGCUUUCGAAAAAAAAAUGUGAUCUGACUUAUAACCCGAGGAGCGGAAACGGAGACACCUCAUUUGACCACCCCG